GACGAACGCUGGCGGCGUGCUUAACACAUGCAAGUCGAGCGGAGCGGCGAACGGGUGAGUAACGCGUGAGUAACUGCCCCCUCUCUGGGAUAACAGUUGGAAACGGCUGCUAAUACCGGAUAGUGGGGGAUGACUCGCGUCCUAUCAGCUUGUUGGUGGGGUAGUGGCCUACCCAGGCGACGACGGGUAGCCGGCCUGGGAGGGGGACCGGCCAAAUUGGGCUGCGAUACGCCCAAAACCCGAACGGGGGGUAGAGGGGGGAAGUAUUGCACAUGGGGGGAACCCCUGAUGAAGAAACGCCGGGGGCGGGAUGGGGUCCUGGGGGUUGUAAACCGCUUGCAGCCAUGAAGCGGUAGUGGAAGAAGAAGCACCGGCUAACUCCGUGCCAGCAGCCGCGGUAAUAC
rnacentral:rRNA from 1 species